rnacentral:rRNA from 1 species
UACGAAGGGGGCUAGCGUUGUUCGGAAUCACUGGGCGUAAAGGGCGCGUAGGCGGCCGAUCAAGUCGGGGGUGAAAGCCUGUGGCUCAACCACGGAAUUGCCUUCGAUACUGUUUGGCUUGAGACCGGAAGAGGUUAGUGGAACUGCGAGUGUAGAGGUGAAAUUCGUAGAUAUUCGCAAGAACACCAGUGGCGAAGGCGGCUGACUGGUCCGGUUCUGACGCUGAGGCGCGAAAGCGUGGGGAGCAAACAUG